UGUCGAUGAUGUUGUUUCAAGACGGGACUUACAAGAGAAUGAUUAUAUGAAGAAGCACUGAGACA
rfam:Necator americanus N_americanus-1.0_Cont237.34, whole genome shotgun sequence.